GAUGAACGCUGGCGGCGUGCCUAAUACAUGCAAGUCGAGCGAACAGAUAAGGAGCUUGCUCCUUUGACGUUAGCGGCGGACGGGUGAGUAACACGUGGGUAACCUACCUAUAAGACUGGGAUAACUUCGGGAAACCGGAGCUAAUACCGGAUAAUAUUUUGAACCGCAUGGUUCGAUAGUGAAAGAUGGUUUUGCUAUCACUUAUAGAUGGAUCCGCGCCGUAUUAGCUAGUUGGUAAGGUAACGGCUUACCAAGGCGACGAUACGUAGCCGACCUGAGAGGGUGAUCGGCCACACUGGAACUGAGACACGGUCCAGACUCCUACGGGAGGCAGCAGUAGGGAAUCUUCCGCAAUGGGCGAAAGCCUGACGGAGCAACGCCGCGUGAGUGAUGAAGGUCUUCGGAUCGUAAAACUCUGUUAUUAGGGAAGAACAUAUGUGUAAGUAACUGUGCACGUCUUGACGGUACCUAAUCAGAAAGCCACGGCUAACUACGUG
rnacentral:rRNA from 1 species